AUUGAACGCUGGCGGCAUGCUUUACACAUGCAAGUCGAGCGGUAACAGGCCUUCGGGUGCUGACGAGUGGCGAACGGGUGAGUAAUGCAUCGGAACGUACCCAGGGGUGGGGGAUAACGCAGCGAAAGCUGUGCUAAUACCGCAUGUGCUCUGAGGAUGAAAGCGGGGGACCGAGCAGCAAUGUUUGGCCUCGCGCCUUUGGAGCGGCCGUUGUCGGAUUAGCUAGUUGGUGGGGUAAAGGCCUACCAAGGCGACGAUCCGUAGCUGGUCUGAGAGGACGACCAGCCACACUGGAACUGAGACACGGACCAGACUCCUACGGGAGGCAGCAGUGGGGAAUUUUGGACAAUGGGCGCAAGCCUGAUCCAGCAAUGCCGCGGGCGGGAAGAAGGCCUUCGGGUUGUAAACCGCUUUUGGCAGGAACGAAACGGUGUCCGCUAAUACCGGGCGCUAAUGACGGUACCUGCAGAAUAAGCACCGGCUAACUACGUG
rnacentral:rRNA from 1 species